GACGAACGCUGGCGGCGUGCCUAACACAUGCAAGUCGAGCGGGAUCCAACCAGUGGCAACACUGGGGAAGAUCUAGCGGCGAACGGGUGAGUAACACGUGAGAAACCUGCCCCGAAGUUCGGGAUAACCCGAGGAAACUCGAGCUAAUACCGGAUGCCCUCUUCCAGUCGCAUGGCCGGAUGAGGAAAGAUUUAUCGCUUCGGGAGGGUCUCGCGACCUAUCAGCUAGUUGGCGGGGUAACGGCCCACCAAGGCAUCGACGGGUAGCUGGUCUGAGAGGACGAUCAGCCACACUGGGACUGAGACACGGCCCAGACUCCUACGGGAGGCAGCAGUGGGGAAUCUUGCGCAAUGGGCGAAAGCCUGACGCAGCAACGCCGCGUGCGGG
rnacentral:rRNA from 1 species